UAGGACGAUCAUCAUAACGAGUCACACAGUCGAAUGGCGAGCGUAGAAUCGAACGGUAGCAUUGAACGAGCGACGAUUACGACCAGCAUAUAGUAUCUCUGUACUUGUAUUUAAAGUGAUUUUAAUAUACAUCGACUAUUACAAUUUUCUCACUCGUCUCUUUAAUAAACCAAUCAACAGGAAUUCGAGGAAUCCACUUUCCCCGUGCGAUCUCCAGCCAUUCUGUCGCGUGUUACGGAACGCGAUUUCAGGCCUCGAAGAAGCUGGGGCGACGAUCCGACGAAACGAUUUCGUUAUGCGAGCUCACGCACGUGCGUCCGCGUCGCCGGAGACGAAAUCCGUAGCUGGCGAGUAUUCGCGGCUUACAGUGAAAAGAGGGUGUGGGCGGUUCGACGUGCGUGCGUGAUCGUGAUCAGGAUGGCGAGUCGAGGUCGUCGUCAUAAGCCGCUCGUGCGCGCUACGGGCCGAUCCAAAUCUCACGGUCGAACCGAAAACGAACAAGCCGAACGUGUCGUUGCAUUCUCUGAUAGAUAGUUGGAACUUAUCGUCAAUCGACCGCUACCUUAUAGAAGAUUUCCUGCACUCGAUACGUGGAUUGAAAUUGUUGACGUUGAUGAGAUGAAAUUGUAAGGCACGAAUUUAGGGAUGUUUUUAUGCGUUUCGUUGAUAGUUUCGUUAGAGAUUUUAAAAGUUUCGUUACGAUCAGACUCGGGAUUUUUACGCAAAUAAAAAAAGAUUUCUUUUAACUUAUUAAGGAUUAACGUUGCAUCAACAAUAUUAUUUUAAUUCUUUUUCAUUCAAUUUACUUUGUUGGGUGCUGUUUUCUACAUUGUGCCUAUGAAGUGGAAUUUCAAAGAUUUCUUAAUAUCUUUUUCGUUGCUAUUUAUUCCAUCUAAAUUAUACAAUUCUAUGGAAUUUAAAGAAAUUGAACUCUUCGUAAUAUUACGAUAAAAUAUUGCCUGAUCCUUAGUGGGUUAAAUUAUAAUGGAGAAAAUAAAAAUUCGCUUCGCCAUGUAGAUUUAUUGGAAUUAAAGAUUUGUUUCUUUAGUCUGAAUAUUUUUUAAAAUGUUUAUGUAGCAUACCCUGUGCAUUGGAGAUAUUUAAAUGUUCCAUAAAUGCAUAGUAAAUGUCACUAAUUAGCACUGAUAAAACAUGAUGGAUUUGUUACCAGGGUUCUUUU
rnacentral:misc_RNA from 1 species